UUGAUGGAAAUUAUUAUGUCAUUUAAAUUGCAAUCAUUAUUACUUUUAUAUGCCUGUGUGGAACUAUGUGAGCUGGCUAAUAAGUCUAAACUCAUUUUACCGUGACAGAUUUUAUGGCUGUUGGGUAUGUGGUUGGUUAUUUAUAUGUAUGUAUGGAACAACGUGAGCUGGCUAAUAAGUUUAGACUCACUUUACCGGGACAGAUUUUAUGGCUGUUGGGCCCUCAUCAGUUUCAUCCGCAAGGCUAAGGUUUUAGUUGUCCGUUGCAUCUACCUUAUCUCUACUCUUACUAUUUACUCCAGGGUAGAAGUUUUAUCCAUUUCGAUAGAUUUGUCUAUUUCAGUUAUGUAGUUGGUUUCGAAUUUAGGAGUCUUCUUUAUGAGAUUCCCAAGUUUUAUUUUGGAACUUUUAUUUUGUUUUGGACGACUGUAAUCCUAUUAUCGCUUAAACUUCUUUUUUGCUUAAUUUAUCCUUUCAGAUUUUUUUACUUGUUUAUUAUCAA